GUGAAUUUUGUUUUACUCACCUGUUUAUAUAGUGUACAUAAAGGACAAACAAGUCCUAAUUUACAUCUAGUCUUUCUAGAUGUUAAAGAGGUUGCCAGUGUAUGACAAAAGUAGAGUUAGUAAACUAAUAUAUUUUAUACAUUUUGUUUUAAAAUUCCUAGGAAAGACUGUCUUCAGAAAAUUUGAGCAUAGCCCACUGGGUUCAUGGAGGAGGAAAGGGUUCUAGGCCAGAAUGUUUAUAUUUUGAAGACACUUUCAAAUUAUAACUAUUGUUACAUGUGUGCAGUUUAUUCAAGACUGCUAUGUAUAUAGUGGACACAUUAUAUCCUUACCCGAAAUAUCUAGUCUGCCUAGAUGUUUAGAAGUGCCCAACAUAUGUUAAAUGUAGAGGUAGUAAAAUAUCACUUUGUAAAUAUCUUUUUGCUAAAAUUCAUAGGAAAUACUGUUUUUUGGAAAUAGAAUUGUUAAACCACCUCUGUGAGCAGUAUAGUACCAUCUACACUUGUUCAAUGAUUUGAAGGAGGUGGGAGGGAAGGAAUUGCAAAAAGUAAUAUGCUAGUGUGUUCAUACUUGGACAUUUUCACAUACCAUUUUUCUUAUGUUUUGUGACUUUGUUUUAUUAUGUGCAUACAGUGUAUAUAAUGGAAAAACUAGUCCUAAUUUUGCAACAUCUAGUCUCUAGAUGUUAAAGAGGUUGCCAGUGUAUGACAAAGUACUUAGUAAAAUUAGCACAUUUUGUAUACUUUGUGUUGAAAUUCAUAGGAAAAAGUUUGUCCUCUGUAAAUGACUUUUGGAUAUGAAUUUGUUCAACCAUCUCUAAGCAUUAAACAUACCUGUGCUUGUCCACUGGAUUGAAGGCAGAGAGAAGGAAAUGAGGAGGGAAUGGUUCAAGGCCAAAAUGGUCUUAUUUAAAAGUUACCUCAGAUUAUAACCAUUGCUACGUGGGGGCAAUUUUAUUUAACAGUGCUGUGUACACAAUGGACAAGUUCUUAUAUGAAAUAUCUAGUCUUUCUAGAUAUUUAGAAGUGCUUGAUGUAUUUAAAAGUAGAAGUAGUAGAACACUUUGUAAAUAGCUUUUAAGAACUGAUGGGAAAUAUUAUGUUUAGAAGUAGAAUUGUUAAACCACCUCUGAGGUCGGAGGGAAGAAAUUGCAAAAGGUGCUUUGCUAGUGCAUACUAGAAAAUUUCAGCUUAUCCAUUGCCCUGUAAGUUACAUGCAUUUCAUUAAACUUUGCUGUACUGUAUAUAUUGUGUAUAUACCGGACAAAUGAGUCCUAAUUUUGUAACAUCUAGUCUCCAGAUAUUAAAGAGGAUGCCAACGUAUGACAAAAGUAGAGUUAGUAA